rnacentral:misc_RNA from 1 species
GAGUUGUAGGCUUUGCCUGCUAUCUCUUACCCAUGUCUUUUGAGUACCUUACGUUUCCUCGGCGGGUCCGCCCGCCGAUUGGACAAUUUAAACCAUUUGCAGUUGCAAUCAGCGUCUGAAAAAACUUAAUAGUUA